rnacentral:rRNA from 1 species
UACGUAGGGUGCGAGCGUUAAUCGGAAUUACUGGGCGUAAAGCGUGCGUAGGCGGUUCGUUAAGUGCGUCGUGAAAGCCCCGGGCUCAACCUGGGAAUGGCGAUGGAAACUGGCGGGCUGGAGUAUGGCAGAGGGGGGUGGAAUUCCGCGUGUAGCAGUGAAAUGCGUAGAGAUGCGGAGGAACACCGAUGGCGAAGGCAGCCCCCUGGGCCAAUACUGACGCUCGGGCACGAAAGCGUGGGGAGCAAACAGG